UACGUAGGGUGCGAGCGUUGUCCGGAAUUAUUGGGCGUAAAGGGCUCGUAGGCGGUUUGUCGCGUCGGGAGUGAAAACCCAGGGCUUAACUCUGGGCUUGCUUUCGAUACUGGCAGACUAGAGGUAUGCAGGGGAGAACGGAAUUCCUGGUGUAGCGGUGAAAUGCGCAGAUAUCAGGAGGAACACCGGUGGCGAAGGCGGUUCUCUGGGCAGUACCUGACGCUGAGGAGCGAAAGUGUGGGGAGCGAACAGG
rnacentral:rRNA from 1 species